rnacentral:rRNA from 1 species
CCUACGGGUGGCAGCAGUGAGGAAUAUUGGUCAAUGGGCGCGAGCCUGAACCAGCCAAGUCGCGUGAGGGAAGACGGUCCUAUGGAUUGUAAACCUCUUUUGUCGGGGAGCAAAAGACGCCACGCGUGGCGUUCCGAGAGUACCCUACGAACAAGCAUCGGCUAACUCCGUGCCAGCAGCCGCGGUAAUACGGAGGAUGCGAGCGUUAUCCGGAUUUAUUGGGUUUAAAGGGUGCGCAGGCGGAAGAUCAAGUCAGCGGUAAAAUUGAGAGGCUCAACCUCGUCGAGCCGUUGAAACUGGUGUUCUUGAGUGAGCGAGAAGUAUGCGGAAUGCGUGGUGUAGCGGUGAAAUGCAUAGAUAUCACGCAGAACUCCGAUUGCGAAGGCAGCAUACCGGCGCUCAACUGACGCUCAUACACGAAAGUGUGGGUAUCGAACAGGAUUAGAUACCCGUGUAGUC